rnacentral:tRNA from 1 species
GCGGGAAUAGCUCAGUUGGUAGNNGGGGUCGCGAGUUCGAGUCUCGUUUCCCGCUCCA